GUAUUGAUUGCGUGUUAUCGCAAAAAUGGGGGUCAUUCUACACUUUUAAAAUAGGGGUUUGUGUGAAAACGCAAGCCCCCCUCCCGGAUCGGUUUGAUCCCAAAGGGUUGCCCACGCGGUGGUGCACAAAAGGGUGAGAUGGAUUUUUAUGUGAGAGGACACACUCUGGCGUGCACGACUCUUGUGGUAAAAGUCAGCGACAGCCCUCGCGCCUCGGUUUUACGAUAAUGAUCCUUCCGCAGGUUCACCUACGGAAA
rnacentral:misc_RNA from 1 species